CCAUGACUAAAUCCCGUCAAAAAAAGAUGACUUUACACCUUUCCCUCAAUUUCACCAGGAAUAGUCCUUGCUUGGAACUCUGAUUAUUAAGCGGUCAAUACAUUGGCCAAUUCAUUAGACAGAAAAAUGCAGCCUUGGCCCAGUAUCUACUAGCUGUACGUUUGGGAGGUCCUCACAUGUCCAGCCUACCCCGACCCAUCACAGAACAAAAGAGGAAUCACUGUCUUCAAUGGUCUCCACGUUGGCUCCUCCAAAAUCUCCAUAUAAAAGAAAGUAAUAAUUACUGAGCUCGGAGCCGGCUUUCCAGUCAAAGAGCGUAGGUUGGGAGAUACUCUACGUGUCAGUUUGGUGUCCCCAGUGGGAGGUCCCAGCUGUCCUCUCUGUCAACUAAUACAAUGGAAAUGCUGGUGAUGAAGAAUGGGGGUGAUGGGAGGCAAAGCUUCAAAUUAACCAUGCGUGGUGUGAGAAUGAGGUCUCCUGAUCUCCUCCACUUUGUCAGAGCUUUAAAUCUGAACACUCGACAUGGCAGAAAUCACUGUAGAAAUGUAUUCAAGUCAAUUUUAAAAUGUAACGGUUUUGUUUCUGUGCCAGCGGCUGAACGUUCUCUUAACAGAAG